GGCGUAACGAUGGCCACACUGUCUCCUCCCGAGACUCAGCGAAGUUGAAGUGGUUGUGAAGAUGCAAUCUACCCGCUGCUAGACGGAGAGACCCCGUGAACCUUUACUGUAGCUUUGCAUUGGACUUUGAAGUCACUUGUGUAGGAUAGGUGGGAGGCUUGGAAGCAGAGACGCCAGUCUCUGUGGAGUCGUCCUUGAAAUACCACCCUGGUGUCUUUGAGGUUCUAACCCAGACCCGUCAUCCGGGUCGGGGACCGUGCAUGGUAGGCAGUUUGACUGGGGCGGUCUCCUCCCAAAGCGUAACGGAGGAGUUCGAAGGUUACCUAGGUCCGGUCGGAAAUCGGACUGAUAGUGCAAUGGCAAAAGGUAGCUUAACUGCGAGACCGACAAGUCGGGCAGGUGCGAAAGCAGGACAUAGUGAUCCGGUGGUUCUGUAUGGAAGGGCCAUCGCUCAACGGAUAAAAGGUACUCCGGGGAUAACAGGCUGAUUCCGCCCAAGAGUUCAUAUCGACGGCGGAGUUUGGCACCUCGAUGUCGGCUCAUCACAUCCUGGGGCUGUAGUCGGUCCCAAGGGUAUGGCUGUUCGCCAUUUAAAGUGGUACGUGAGCUGGGUUUAAAACGUCGUGAGACAGUUUGGUCCCUAUCUGCAGUGGGCGUUGGAAGUUUGACGGGGGCUGCUCCUAGUACGAGAGGACCGGAGUGGACGAACCUCUGGUGUACCGGUUGUAACGCCAGUUGCAUAGCCGGGUAGCUAAGUUCGGAAGAGAUAAGCGCUGAAAGCAUCUAAGCGCGAAACUCGCCUGAAGAUGAGACUUCCCUUGCGGUUUAACCGCACUAAAGGGUCGUUCGAGACCAGGACGUUGAUAGGUGGGGUGUGGAAGCGCGGUAACGCGUGAAGCUAACCCAUACUAAUUGCCCGUGAGGCUUGACUCUAU
rnacentral:rRNA from 1 species